UCAGAGAAUCCCUAGGGCGAUGGAAUUUUUAAGGAGACGCAACAGGCAGGUCAAGUGCUCGGAGAUUCACUCGGAGCCAGUUACUACCUCCGUGGCCUGGGGCCCUUUUGAAGUCUCAGGUGGGGAGGAGGGGGAAGGGAGGGCAGAGAUCGCCCUCACAGGAAGAAUCUUGGCAUUGGCCGAGAGGUUCAACAAACUGCUUCCGAUUCACAAACUGAACACAAAGAAUAGGUCCUCCAGACAAUAGAGAAGAUCGAGAGGAAAGACCUUCCACUUCCGCUCCCGCCAUAGCGGAUGUCCUUCCCUUCCAGCCACCUCCCCGACCUGAGCACAGAGAUGUGAUCCGCUGGAGGCCAGAGAGACCAGGAAGCGAAGUCGGGCAGCUUCACGCUCCGCCCCACGCCAGCUGUGUAGAGUGUGUAGCCACUCUCCCAACCCCCACCCCGAAAGUAGACUAGCACCACGAGAUCGCAGAGAGUAGUCCAGAGCCGAGAAACCUUUUGCCCUUAUCGUUGAGUAUAGCGGCCACGACAACUGGUGCCCAACAUGGGGCAUGAGGAAACAGAACCCCGUAAGCAGAAAGACAUUUUCCAAGAACUUAGCGUCGGUAAGCUUCGAGCUUCAGCCUGAAAGAAAGGGUCUCCGUGGCGUAUCCCACCGUAAGAAGACAACGGAGAAGGGUAUGCUUGUAUCUCAACAGGAGAAGGAUCUAAAUUGGGUGCCAACAAAAACUCUCAAAAUUGUCACUGAAGCCUCGGAAACAUCGGAGGAGAAGACGACCCAGUAAAAGGAGAAAGAAAAGAACAAACAUGGCUAGACCUACGAAAACUGUUAUCCUGAUGCUGGCUAUGCUGCAGUUAACUUCGGCAAUUGAGAUGGGUCAAAAUGAGACCAGAUGGGCCUUCAUAAAAGGACCCUCCAUGGCCCAAACUUGUAACAUGGAAUGAAUGGCUUCCAAAUGUUGUACUACAAGGAAAUGCAAGUAAAUUCUUUGCCCAGGAAUUUGACUAUGCAACAGGAAACAAUACUUCAGGAACACUAAAAUACAAUAUUACAGGACUAACUGCUACUCUGCCUAUAUGUUUUACAAAAAACGAGAAUACGAGCGAACAUUAUGCUAAAUUGGUCAAUACCACGUUGCAUACACAGUUCAGCAUUGGGGAACAAAUAAUUCAUAUGAUGGGAUUGGAAGAACAGAAUUGCACGAAUGAUACCAUCAUAAUAAGACCUUCGAUAUCGCCUUGCAUUCCCCUUAAUGGAACAAAACCAGGAUGGCCUAUUAUGAAAACAUGUCUUACUCAUAACAGAGCGUGUCAUCGUUUACAGAACAUAACUUUACAAUCAUGGCAUACACCAGACCCAAAUAUAUCCUACAUAGAACAGAUGCUACCAAAUUGGGUUGGGAAUUUGGGUGGAAAAGGGAAUCAGUUGUGGAAAAUAUGGAUGGUUUUGGGAAAUAUAACUAUAAUAGAGAAAUAUCCAGGGGGAUAUUCAGGGUAUUGGUAUACUUGGAAAAAGAUUUUCGGUAAGCCCUCCUGGAGUAACGACACAAAGGAAGAAGGCUUUGUUCUACAAGCACGCGCUUGCUUGGGAGGCGAUUAUGCUUUUAUGUGGGGACACAAUGCCAGUGUUAUUGUAGAAGAAAAUGCAUAUGUCACAUGCCAUAACUGUUCGGUUUCAGAAUGUAUUGGAGAGAAAAUAGGCAAGCAAAAGAUUUUUAUAAUUCGGAGGACUAAUUUUGCUUUGCUUCCUGUUAAAACUAAUGAUUGGUAUAGGACAAAAGCUGAUCAUGUUUAUUCAACAUAAGAACCAAGAACUUGGCUUACGCAGGCAAAAAUGCUGUAUUAGUUGUGUAGUUUUGGGAAUUGUAGCAUUAAUAUCUAUAAUAGCCUCUUCGACUUCUAUAGCAAUGUCUAUAUCUACAGUAAAAAAUCAAAUUGUAGAAGCAAAAUUCAUGCAAGAGUUAGCUCAUAAUGUGUCAGUAGGUUUCACAAUUCAAAACAGAAUUAACAAUGACUUUUAUAAAAUUGUCAGAAUUAGCACACACUGUCGAGGCAGUGGGUGAUAAACUCUUAUCUCCUCGAAUAUCAAUCUUCCUUACAAUGUGAUUAUAGAUACAACUUUAUUUGUGUAACGCCAUUACUUUAUAAUCAGUCUCGAUGGGAUUGGGGACGUAUUAAAAAACACUUAAAUGGGAUAAUGUUGAGCUCUAAUCUCAGCUCAGAGAUGGAUGAAUUGUGGCAUAUAGCUCAUGAAAUUGAUGUAGCUUCACAUAAGGAUUUAAUGCCUGAUGACACAGCAGAGGAAAUUGUUGAUUGGAUUAAGAAGGGCCCUGCACAUCUGGCUCAUUAGAUUUGCCGAUGACAAAAAGCUAGGAGGGCUGGCUAACAACAAUACCUGCUGGCUGGCAUUUCUGUGCCACUUUAAGACCAGCAUAACACUUUACUCACAUUAUCUCAUUUGAUCUGCAUAACAACAACCCUGUGAGCUUUUCCACUUGGAUUAUAAUGAUUGUUUUAUUGUGCUUGCUUUUAUGCUGCUUACCUACUGUAGUUGGAUGUCUUUUGAAAGUAAUGAUGUCCACGCUUAAAAAUGUUAUGUCUCAACUACAGGUAUUGACAGACACACACCCACAACACCACCUUCUUUAAAACAAAAAGGAGGAAUUGUUAGGGUAAUUUUCUCAUGGGAGUUCUAGCUUCUCUCAGCAGCAGCUGAG